GAAAAUAUACCCCACACCAUAACAUACCAUAACUUUGUAUCCCUCAAUUACUCAAGAUCCUUUAUUUAUUUCCUUUAUUUUGGCUGUUACCUGUAUGUUCUUUACCAUAAUAACUCUAAGAGCAUGUUUUGAUAGUGUGGCAUAUUUGGUCUUUACCAUAAUAUCUGUUUGAUAGUGUAGCCUAUAUGUUCUUUACCAUAAUAACUGUAAGAGCAUGUUUUGAUAGUGUAGCCUAUAUGUUCUUUACCAUAAUAACUGUAAGAGCAUGUUGAUAGUGUAGCCUAUAUGUUCUUUACCAUAAUAACUGUAAGAGCAUGUUGAUAGUGUGGCCUACAUGUUCUUUACCAUAAUAACUGUAAG
rnacentral:lncRNA from 1 species